ACGGUGCAUAGCUCAGCGGUAUAGCAUCUGCUUCCCACACAGAAGGCCCCAGGUUCAGAGUCAGGGAGCUGCCUGGA